rnacentral:lncRNA from 1 species
CUUUUGGAGAUAUGUUGUUAAUAUUCAUAUUUAGAUUUCGGACUUGUCACCUCUAGAUUCGGGUGCGCGUAAUUCAGUUAAAACCAUAAAAAACCGACCGAACCAAACAAAUUCGGUUUAAUCAGUUCAGUUUGUUUGGUUAUUCGGUCAGUAUCAGUUUAAAAUUUCAAGAAUUUCAAUUUUUUGGUUCAGUUUUCGGUUUUGCAGAAACAAUCAAUUUUGAUGAAGACGAAAAAUCGAAAUGCUUCACUGUUUCACUAUUCCUCCAGCAAUAUCUGUAUUAUCUCUUUGAAACACCUAUCUAGAUUGCAGACAAAGUAUUGCUUAUCAGCCGCUGACAAUUCUUUAGAACUAUAGGUUACUUCUUCAUUGUUAUAGAAUUGGCAGGAAUGAUCAUUAAACAAGAAGCAAAAUCCAUGUUCAAAAAGACUACAGGAGUCUCAUAGAGGUAUGAGGUUAUCACCUACUGAUAUAUCCUCCAGUUUCCAAAACUGACAGGUUUCUAUUAUAAGAACUAGCCCCAGUGAUGAUUAUACCUAAUAAAAAUCAUAUGUUCCAAUUGAAAGGAGGACUCUAGACACUGUCGCCUCUUUAUAAAUUAUCAAAAAUUUAGAGGUUAACUGAAGUGUAUAUUAGUCAGUGAAUUACUUCUUAUUGGAAAUGAGAAGAAAAUGCUCCCACCAAGCUAGUCUUACGCAUACAAAUUAUUUUCUUGAUUUUGCCCAAUUUAUGUCAGUUUGACCCAGCUUCUUUUUUUUUCUUUGGAAAAAAGAAUUGUCAGAACUUUUCAAAUAAAAGGUCCAACUGCAAAAGUCGAUCCAUGUAUUUUUGGUAAGGUUUGUUUUUCUCGUUCAUAAAUUAAAAGGUGAAAUACUGAACCGACUGAUGCCCACCCCCGCUGGUUUCGAGAUGGGUUUCCUUGCGGGUGUGUCCACUUGUUUUCCUAUUCAAGUUCUGGUUCAAAUUUCAGAAAGUUCAGAUUCUUAUUGCCACUACUUAGCAUACACUGGUUAAAAGGUUAAAUAGUUCAUUUUUCUUAACUUCAGAUGAGUUCGACAACCAUAAUAGGCUCUAUAACUGGAUCAUGCACACUAAGAACAUAGCGGAUUAGAGGGACAAGAGGUUCCACUCAUCAAAGUGUGAGACGCAAAGCUUCUGCCUAGAAGCAAGCUACCCUCUUUGCCUGUUCAUUUGCUCUGCAAGCAGAGCGGUAUAUUGAAAAAAAGAAGCGACAUCUCUAGAAAGUAAAAGUUGGCAUGUCCUAUUUUGUUGAUCAAUAUAAAGCAUCCUACAUUUAUCCAAUUUUGGUGGCUGCAGUUGCCAUGAAACUUGGAUAUGCUGAUGCUAGAGAAAAGUUCGCAUGAUAUAUCAGCCUCUAAUAAUAAUGUUUUAUUUGAGGUUAUUACUCAUGCUACAUUGAUAUCUAACAUUUGACUGUUUUUGUACAAUCAGUAGAAGAGAGAAUGAUUUCACUUUUUCUCUUCUUCAGAUGUCUGCUUUUGCUUUGUUUCUGUUUCUAAUAACACUUUCUGCUCGUAGAAGACUUGAGAAAGCAAACCCACCAAGAUUGCUCCAAGAACUGCACUCUUUCCCCAGUCAGAUGGUGAAGAGAUCAAAGCAUUCGUAAUUCCAACUACCACGAGGCCCACAAGUGCAAGGUAGAUGUUCCUUCUAAUAUUUGACUCGGCAAUUUCUUUAUUGAGUUGCUUAAUCUUCUCUGUUUCCUCCUUAGCUUUCGCUUUAUCCACUGGUUGUUUUUUCCCUAAGGUCUUAAAGAAAAGCCCUUCAUUUCUUUCCUCCUCCAUUUGGCCUACAAAGUCCGCCAACUUCUGCUCGUUCUUUUCGAUUUCUUGUUUGUUUAACUCCAUUGAUUCUUCAAAAGCUUGCAUCCUGCUCUCUAUAUUUUCCAUUAUCUGCUCCAAAAAGAAAGAAAGAAAAAGACAAAUGAAAAGCCGUGUAUUUGGAUGAAUCUAAAUUCCAUUUUCUGUAUGAUUUUCAGUUGGGUUGACAGACCCUUGCACCAGCUUCGUCAAGCUCUUUGAGGGCAUUUUCACCAACUUGGUCAAUCUCAGUGUUGGCAUCUUCAGCAAACUGUGAU